AUGGGGGGUACAUUAAGCAUUAUUUAAUACAAACAUCACGAGAUUACAACAAAAGUGUAACCAGUUGACUUCCGAUGAGGUAUAGGUAUCACCACUAAACAACAAUUCAGGACAGAAAAUAAUAUGGUGAACUACGGAAAGAAGCAUUAUUUUUACUCAAGUUAUGUCCCCGAAGGCACUCUAGACCAAUUACUUGAGAAUGAUCCACGAAGAGAUUCACCUUAGGACCAUAGCAUUUGACAAACCACUCUGCAGUUCUAGCACUGGAAGCUUCAAACAUGGUUUUCUCAAGGCCUAGUCGUCCAAUCACCUUUGCAAUUAUGUCUGCCCUCAGAGAUUCAGCAUCUUUACAGACAUCAUCGGCAUCAAUCAUUAUCAUGUCAGCCCCAGCCUCCAAGCAUCUCUCAGCCCUUCUAAUCAAGAGAUCUACAUCUUCAAUGAGUUCAGAGCUUUGAGGUUUUGGAGGCAGAUAAGCGCCAAAUGCUCUAUCGCCACCCAUGGGAAUAUCAGAUUUAUUAAUCUUGACUGCAAAUUGAGGCUUUGCUUUCAAACCACCACUCUUAAUUAAGCGCACAUAUCUCAAAAGUGUCUCUUCUGGAACUCCAAGUGACCCCACAUUGAGCUCGAUUGUGUCAAACCCCAUGCUUUUACAUUCCUCAACAUAUUCUUUGAAACCUGAUGGACCUUUAUGAAGCAAGUGUUCAGCCCAGUCACCUGUACUGACAUAUACAUCAUGUUGGUGGGCCAUGUCAAUCACCUCUUUGAUAAAAGACUUGGGCAUAAGACUGUGGGAACCUCCAGAGAACUUCAGCCCAUCAACAAAUUGCCCCAUGGACUCAAAAAUAUCCUGAAGCAUGUUGUGACUCAAGAGAGAAUACUGUGGACCUCGCAUCUCGGUGACUCCAUAUCGGCGAGGUUUCUCUGGUCGAUCUUCGUCUUCGUCGAAGGUCUUCCAACGAUAAUACACCGACAUCCUUUUUCCCUUUACUUUUCUGCUAUUUUUUCCUUUUCCUUUCCUCUCGGCGUGCGAAGGAAAAUGUAAUUCCUUCGGCUAUGAGAAUGAUCUGUUUAUUUCUGGAUGGUGCUUACAGAGGAAUAGAA
rnacentral:misc_RNA from 1 species